AACGAACGCUGGCGGCAGGCCUAACACAUGCAAGUCGAGCGGACCUUUCGGGGUCAGCGGCGGACGGGUGAGUAACGCGUGGGAAUAUGCCCUUCUCUACGGAAUAGUCCUGGGAAACUGGGGGUAAUACCGUAUACGCCCUUUGGGGGAAAGAUUUAUCGGGGAAGGAUUAGCCCGCGUUGGAUUAGGUAGUUGGUGGGGUAAUGGCCUACCAAGCCGACGAUCCAUAGCUGGUUUGAGAGGAUGAUCAGCCACACUGGGACUGAGACACGGCCCAGACUCCUACGGGAGGCAGCAGUGGGGAAUCGUAGACAAUGGGGGCAACCCUGAUCUAGCCAUGCCGCGUGAGUGAUGAAGGCCUUAGGGUUGUAAAGCUCUUUCAGCUGGGAAGAUAAUGACGGUACCAGCAGAAGAAGCCCCGGCUAACUCCGU
rnacentral:rRNA from 1 species